rnacentral:rRNA from 1 species
UACGAAGGGGGCUAGCGUUGCUCGGAAUCACUGGGCGUAAAGGGUGCGUAGGCGGGUCUUUAAGUCAGGGGUGAAAUCCUGGAGCUCAACUCCAGAACUGCCUUUGAUACUGAAGAUCUUGAGUUCGGGAGAGGUGAGUGGAACUGCGAGUGUAGAGGUGAAAUUCGUAGAUAUUCGCAAGAACACCAGUGGCGAAGGCAGCUUACUAAGGCGAUACUGACGCUGAGGCACGAAAGCGUGGGGAUCGAACAGG